rnacentral:rRNA from 1 species
CUAUAGCUUGACACUGAACAUUGAGCCUUGAUGUGUAGGAUAGGUGGGAGGCUUAGAAGUGUGGACGCCAGUCUGCAUGGAGCCGACCUUGAAAUACCACCCUUUAAUGUUUGAUGUUCUAACGUUGACCCGUAAUCCGGGUUGCGGACAGUGUCUGGUGGGUAGUUUGACUGGGGCGGUCUCCUCCUAAAGAGUAACGGAGGAGCACGAAGGUUGGCUAAUCCUGGUCGGACAUCAGGAGGUUAGUGCAAUGGCAUAAGCCAGCUUGACUGCGAGCGUGACGGCGCGAGCAGGUGCGAAAGCAGGUCAUAGUGAUCCGGUGGUUCUGAAUGGAAGGGCCAUCGCUCAACGGAUAAAAGGUACUCCGGGGAUAACAGGCUGAUACCGCCCAAGAGUUCAUAUCGACGGCGGUGUUUGGCACCUCGAUGUCGGCUCAUCACAUCCUGGGGCUGAAGUAGGUCCCAAGGGUAUGGCUGUUCGCCAUUUAAAGUGGUACGCGAGCUGGGUUUAGAACGUCGUGAGACAGUUCGGUCCCUAUCUGCCGUGGGCGCUGGAGAACUGAGGGGGGCUGCUCCUAGUACGAGAGGACCGGAGUGGACGCAUCACUGGUGUUCGGGUUGUCAUGCCAAUGGCACUGCCCGGUAGCUAAAUGCGGAAGAGAUAAGUGCUGAA